rnacentral:lncRNA from 1 species
CAGGCUUUAAAUGUGGAAGAACCAUGUGGAGCCCUGCUGUCCCGAAGGGCAAAACCAGCCCAGUGAAUGCUUCUUGAGUGCUCCCAAGCCAGGGACUGUGUGAGGACUACCUCCUUUAGUCCUCACAAUGAACCCUGGAAGCUAGUGUGGCCCCAAGAAACACAGGUAACAGCAGAACGUCCUGAAAGUGACAGCCAAGAAAAUGGAUUUCAGAGCAUACAUGGAACACCUCUGGGGGCUCCCAGAACAAGAUAUCCGGGGCUCAACCUGGACCUGCGUUAAAGUCAGAAUUGAGGAGUGGACACCAGCAAACGGAUGUAGAAGUGUGCUCACAUCCCCUUCGUCAACUGCAAUCUCGUUUAAGGCCCUGGGGUCUCCUGGAAGGGAAGUUGGAAUCACGGGGCCACAUGGCAUUCCCUGGAGUCCUCCCCACCCUGUAGUGUCACCAGCCAGCCAGCACCAUCACAGGUGGCCCCAUCUUACCUCAGGUAAUGAGAGUGCUCUCAAGGCUGGGCCACGUCACCUGCCUACGCAGGAUGGAGCUGGAGUGUGCCUUUUCUGACCAUGGUAGUCUCCGUCGACUCCGAGUUGAGGGCCUGUCACACAGUCACUCACUCACUCUGUAGAUUGAAAUCUGGGCCUCAAUUCCUAUAGAACAGGCUACCCCUCCUCCCUGACAGCACAAUCUAAAAAGAGCAGCAAGGUAGUGGGUUCCACAUUCCCUCUUACACAGGAUUGCAUGUGUGAGACAGAAAGUGAGACCAACAGUAAAUAAAUAAAUACAUAAAUAAAUAAAUAAAAAAUAAACCCACUGGCAUGUUUUCACUGAGAAAAUGUCUGCAGAUGGCCACCCUGUGGGGUGGGUAUUAUCCCCUGUGUGGUUUCUUUUUUGGUUUGAGG